AUUGAACGCUGGCGGCAGGCCUAACACAUGCAAGUCGAACGAGUGGCGGACGGGUGAGUAAUGUCUGGGAAACUGCCCGAUGGAGGGGGAUAACUACUGGAAACGGUAGCUAAUACCGCAUACCAUCGGAUGUGCCCAGAUGGGCUUAGCUAGUAGGUGGGGUAACUGCUAACCUAGGCGACGAUCCCUAGCUGGUCUGGGAGGAUGACCAACCAGCCUGAAACUGGGACACGGUCCAGACGCCGACGGGAGGCGGCAGUGGGGAAUAUUGCACAAUGGGCGCAAGCCUGAUGCAGCCAGGCCGCGUGUAUGAAGAAGGCCGUCGGGUUGUAAAGUACUUUCAGCGAGGAGGCGUUACUCGCAGAAGAAGCACCGGCUAACUCCGUGCCAGCAGCCGCGGUAAUUC
rnacentral:rRNA from 1 species